UUGAGGGCGCGAAGGGUGCUCGGGUACCUAGGUAGGCUCCGCACUCGCCAUCAGCUUUGCUGCGACGUCCCAUCCCGCCCAUCCGUGCAUGGGACCAGCCCUUGCGUACUGUGGCACCACGCGCACCCGCCCGCGUGCGGGUAACACUUCCAAGCAUGUUACUCCUCCCAAGCUAUGCAGCUCUAACUCACACAGGCGGGCGGCGGCCAGCAUCUCAUUGACGGUGUUGAUCAUGGCGGUGUUGACAUAGCUCUUGCCGAGGAAGGUGGUGCCCAUGGCGGCGCCCAGGGAGGAGGCCCAGCCGGACAGGGUGCCGCAGUUGUUGGCGGCGCCGCCGGCCCACAGCGCCCAGGCCUCAUCCACGUUGUGGGGUGCGCCUGGGGCGGGCGGGGACAGUAAGGUGAACGCUUAUGUCAGUUGCACCACGGGGCGCAGGUGAAGUAGCAAAAUACAUAAAUCCCGCGCACUGCUGAGCACCCAUCCACGCACUGCUGAGCGCUUGACAGCGAGCACCGUGCUGCGAUGCCGCAAACAACGCACCCGAGGCGUCAGAAACCAGGUUGGUGAGGUUGCCGGUGCCGUCAGCCAGGUAGGUCUUGAUCUUGUUGUAGGCCUCAUCCACCUCGUGCAGGUGGUACUUGAGCGUGCCCACCUGGAUCAGACCGGCGGCCAGGGUGGCCUUGCCGUCGGCCAGGGCAGCCCUGCGGGGGAUUAGAAGGGUGAGCGAGCGGAGCGGGCAGGGGCGUGAUUGGGGGUUGAGCCAGAUCACGGACGGAGUCAAGGGUUCCGCCAGCAAGCUGCGCAGCUGGGUUUUGAGGCAGAUCUCGGACGGGGUCAGGGGACCCGCAAGCAAAUAGAGGAAAUCUCAUCGAUGCAGGCAGCGAUGUGACAGCGAGCAGGGUGCGUGUUCUCAAUGUACCUCCACUCAUUAUUUUCAUCAUUAUUUUCAGUGGAGCGAGGCUACCCGUCAGCCGGCGGCUUACCGGAUGGCGGCGUCCAGGGAGGACGUGUCCUUGCCGGCCAGGAUGGAGUCGUGCAGCGGCUCCACGGAGCCGUUGGCGGUGAUGUACGAGGCGAAGCGCUGCGGAGGAGGCAGGGCGCGGGGAUGACGUGCGGGAAGACGUGAGGCCAAGGCCCAAAGGCAGGGGUAGGAAAGGGUUCCAAACCAUGCAAGCGCCCCCGCAACCCACGGCUGAAACGGCUGCAUGGGCAGGCGGUAGGUAAAGGCAUGAUCACCCAUCAGGGACGGACGCA
rnacentral:lncRNA from 1 species